rnacentral:rRNA from 1 species
AUUAAACGCUGGCGGCAUGCCUUACACAUGCAAGUCGAACGGCAGCACGGGAGCAACCCUGGUGGCGAGUGGCGGACGGGUGAGUAACACAUCGGAACGUGCCCUGGAGUGGGGGAUAACGCAGCGAAAGCUACGCUAAUACCGCAUAUUCUGUGAGCAGGAAAGCAGGGGAUCGCAAGACCUUGCGCUUUGGGAGCGGCCGAUGUCGGAUUAGCUAGUUGGUGGGGUAAAGGCUUAGCAAGGCGACGAUCCGUAGCGGGUCUGAGAGGAUGAUCCGCCACACUGGGACUGAGACACGGCCCAGACUCCUACGGGAGGCAGCAGUGGGGAAUAUUGGACAAUGGGCGAAAGCCUGAUCCAGCAAUGCCGCGUGUGUGAAGAAGGCCUGAGGGUUGUAAAGCACUUUCAAUCGUGAAGAAAAGUUGCAGGCUAAUACCCUGUGACCUUGACGUUAACGAUACAAGAAGCACCGGCUAACUCCGUCG